CGGCCUUAGUGGCGCACGGGUGCGUAACGCGUGGGAAUCUGCCCCUUGGUUCGGAAUAACAGUUGGAAACGACUGCUAAUACCGGAUGAUGACGUAAGUCCAAAGAUUUAUCGCCGAGGGAUGAGCCCGCGUAGGAUUAGGUAGUUGGUGUGGUAAAGGCGCACCAAGCCGACGAUCCUUAGCUGGUCUGAGAGGAUGAUCAGCCACACUGGGACUGAGACACGGCCCAGACUCCUACGGGAGGCAGCAGUGGGGAAUAUUGGACAAUGGGCGAAAGCCUGAUCCAGCAAUGCCGCGUGAGUGAUGAAGGCCUUAGGGUUGUAAAGCUCUUUUACCCGGGAUGAUAAUGACAGUACCGGGAGAAUAAGCUCCGGCUAACUCCGUGCCAGCAGCCGCGGUAAUACGGAGGGAGCUAGCGUUAUUCGGAAUUACUGGGCGUAAAGCGCACGUAGGCGGCUUUGUAAGUAAGAGGUGAAAGCCCAGAGCUCAACUCUGGAAUUGCCUUUUAGACUGCAUCGCUUGAAUCAUGGAGAGGUCAGUGGAAUUCCGAGUGUAGAGGUGAAAUUCGUAGAUAUUCGGAAGA
rnacentral:rRNA from 1 species